CCCAGAUUAAAGAACUCGUCAUCGAUUUCUCUAUCUGAGAAAGGUGGACGAAAAGCUUCCUGUUUCCCAUUCCUUUCUUUGUCUUCAAAGUGAUUUUCUAGGCGUGCCGUUUUUUGAAGGCGAUUCUUGUGCAUUCCUCGUCUGAAAGAGAAACGAUCGAAACGAAGGGUGGCUCUUGCAGCAUCGGCAGGGGUUGAUGGCAUUUGUUGCACGGUUGUAUCCUGAGCACGCGGCGCAUGGGUAUCAUCCCCUGCUACCGUGUUCCGGUUUCCAAUGAAAAUAAAGUGUCCAUCGUCGAGUAAUGUGAUAGCUGGAGAAGGGUCCAUUCUUGCUUUCGUAUCUGGCAGUCUUCGGCAUCUAACUUUCGGGAGUGUUUGUCUGUUCGUCGUCGCAUUUCUUCGGCGAUUGCACCAAGCAGUUUUAUCCUCCUCCCACCCCGUAAAGCCACGAAUCAUCUCUUCUUUUUCCUCAGGAGAAUACAGACAGGGCUGGAACACAACCCCAACAGCUGUAUUUCUUCUUGGCCGCAUUUUCUCUCCUGAGAUAUGUUCUAGUGGAGGGUGCGGCAACUGUUUUGACUGGGGAAAACCAACUGGUGUAGACUGCCGGACUCCGUGGAACUCCUUGGUAUUGAAAUCGCUCUUCUCUGCCACAUUCGCUCGAGGUGGCGUUCUGGAAGAGAGAAAAGACUCUAGGUCACUAGAAAACGCAAUUCUAUCGGACUUGAGUUUGUGUUGCGAAGAGAGAGUGACCUGGAGUGCCGAAGAGAGUUGAGACUCCCCUGGCCCAAUCGCAGGCCUGUUUUGUAAAAUAGGGGUUUCACUGUUUCCAUCCCCUGUUUCACUACAUGCGAUCAGCGGGCUGGAGUUCUGACCAUCGCAACAAGUAGAAUAUGCUGACGAGGCAAGUGAAGGGAGCACAGGUAUCCGUCUUUUUCGACGUGGAAGGACAGGUGAGAACUUCUGGUGUAGUGAGCAAAACAUUUUCUGAGUAGGGGACGGCGACGCAAUGGAGAUAGGCGACGAUGAAUCAUGAACCAUCGUUACCGUUCCUUGAAUACUUAUCUGAUCGUUCUUCUCUCCCUUGUGGCGUAACCGGCGGCGAAGGCCACAAAAGGCAGACGGAAAACAAGAAAAGAAAUCCGUCAUGGUGCACACGAGGUAUCACCGCUGCAAAAGAAAUAUUCCCUUUCGAGACGAAAACUGGGAAUCUUUGUUUUUCCUACCAAAAGAGAUUAGAUUUCCGGGUAGACACACAGAAGGUCAGUAACAUGCAUAUAACUCUGCGUGGACGAACAAUACGCGGUUUCCCUAUAGAACGGUCACUUGUUGCGUAACAUCGUUUUCGUCGGUUCUGAUCGCGAAAUAUGCUCCAAAGAGAGAGAGAACCACAACGGCAGAAACGCGCAAGAAUGACUGAGGGCGUUUUGGCAAAUGGGGGGACUCCUUUCAACAAGAGGAAUGUUGGUUUCGAAACGGUUUAGCCGUGCCAUCACGACCACGAGUGGCUGGCUCAGUAGAAUGAAUUCCGCCUCACAUUCGUUCCCAGUGGCAGGGACCUGAAAGAAACCACGACCGGCAGGGGAGGUAUCCCCCGUACGGAUAUAAACAGACAGCAAGACAAUGUAGCAGGAUGACGUUAUGACAUAAUGACCUGCAAAUAUGGAAGUACAGCGACUAAUACACCAUUCCCACGUUAGGGCUCUGCUGUUUCAAAGGGUUAACAUUCUGUACUGGAGAAGUUUGUGAAAAAAUCAAGCAGUAAAAAGUCGCCUUUCAGGCCACACCAAUACGUCCCGCGAAGUCGGUUCUCUCUGAGACCGCUCGCGGCUCUGAACGAGCAAAAGAAGAAAAAAUGAUCUCGUGAAAAUGGAAGCCGUCAGACAACGAAAGACAGUCUGAAAGCUGCAGCUCUCGGCUCCUGGCGCCUAGUUUCCUUAUAAUAACUAACCGUGUCAAAGGAAAUACUCGGGACAAGAUGGAUAUGGGAACAGCACUGACAAAACUGAGUGACCGGGAGAAAUAUUGAUGCGACAAAGAAUGGUCUGGUUCAUAUGAGAACGUGUCCAGGGAGGUUCGUUCUCCAGAGAUUCAAGAAGUACAAAGAAACAGGUGCGAACCAUAUUCACUGGGGGGAAAAGUGAUUCGAAAAAGUGUCGGCCUCUAAAAGCCGUUCACCGUGUUCCAAAACAUGCCCAUUGACGGGACUAAUUACUCGCAUGCUGUGACUCAGCAUCGGAAGAGAUUGUACGUGUACUUGCGUUUGUUACAGAGACACCGAAUGGGAUCUCUUACGAUCUGAGUACGCCGGUCCUGUGGUUUUCUUGUCUUCUCUUUCUAAAAAAAGAGAGGUGGGCACAGAAUUCAAGAAGUAUCAGUUGAACUUCUCCCAGUAAUUUGCGCUACACGCCGGCGACGAGUUCCGCAGCAGAAAGAAUGUAGUCUCUGAAUUGCCUUGCUGAUUUGUUCAUGGCUUUUACGUGUGGUUUCAGUGGGGUUUAGAAACCUAGGAAAUUGUGACUCCUACGGUUUCGUCGCGGCGAUUGAAAUGAAGGCAACCGCCCGGACUCUAAAAGUUGAUCCAGAUGGUGUUCAGACGUGCCGAUACGCGAAUGACCAUUCGGUAUCAUCGUUGGCAGUGAGGGUAGGAAGAAGGUGAACUUGUUAAUCUUUCAAACACACCGCCCCUGAAGAUCGUUUUUCGGUCGGGGCAGGCCUGUCGAAAGGCAAACAAAAGGUGGUGAACGAUGAUACGAUACUCGUACUUGCUGUCACCGGUGUCCCUGCUGAAGUUCAGGAACUGUGAAAGCGCACAAGUCCUUUGUUUCGCUUUUGUGCCGAGGAAAUAUCAAACUUUUCUCAGAACAAGUAAAAGUCGAUGAACUCGGUA
rnacentral:lncRNA from 1 species